AGUGAACGCUGGCGGUAGGCCUAACACAUGCAAGUCGAACGGCAGCACAGUAAGAGCUUGCUCUUACGGGUGGCGAGUGGCGGACGGGUGAGGAAUACAUCGGAAUCUACUUUUUCGUGGGGGAUAACGUAGGGAAACUUACGCUAAUACCGCAUACGACCUACGGGUGAAAGCAGGGGAUCUUCGGACCUUGCGCGAUUGAAUGAGCCGAUGUCGGAUUAGCUAGUUGGCGGGGUAAAGGCCCACCAAGGCGACGAUCCGUAGCUGGUCUGAGAGGAUGGUCAGCCACACUGGAACUGAGAAACGGUCCAGACUCCUACGGGAGGCAGCAGUGGGGAAUAUUGGACAAUGGGCGCAGGCCUGAUCCAGCAAUACCGCGUGGGUGAAGAAGGCCUUCGGGUUGUAAAGCCUUUUUGUUGGGAAAGAAAAGCAGCAGGUUAAUACCCCGCUGUUCUGACGGUACCCAAAGAAUAAGCACCGGCUAACUUCGUG
rnacentral:rRNA from 1 species